AGGUAGCGCACAUGCCCUGUGGCAAAAAAACCUUAAAAAAGGAAGAAUGAAUGACAAGAGUCCUUACCUUGGGGAGCUCCCAGGUAACUCUACAAACAACCAGUAAAGUGAUAAAUGAUAGAAUCGGUCAGGAACGAGACCCUGGCAAGGAAGAGACCCAGAGAGAUGCUCCUGCUUAUCAGCUAGCAAGCAACAAAAUGAAUGAACAAGUAGCAAAGAAAUAUUAAACUGACAAUCCCAGC